AUUUUUUAAUGCUGUUCUAGUAGUUGAAAUGCAAAAAAUACAAGUAUAGCGGGCUAACGAGAACCAGAAAGACAACAUUUUACAGAAAAGCAGCGACAAGGACAGUACAGUUCUAGGUUUGAAACUUGGAAAUAAUUCCCUGCUUUUAGCAGUCCCGCCCAUAAAAGUUUCAGAAAUAAGAUUCUGGUUGUAAAUUCAUCCCUGAGAGGCUCUUGCAUUCCUAACCAUUUUCUGUCGGCUCAAGGGCCAGUGGCUAGGUAGCUGGUGGUGCUGGGCUGCACAUGUCCCUUUAAGAGUCCCUGAGCCGCGUCUCAAAGAGUCCUUGUGGGUGACACACACUGCACCUCUCGGCAGCGAGGAGAAUGAAAGCCGAUUGUUGCUACCGCUGGCCCUAGGGAUCAUGGCGGACGUCGUCGGUGACGAGAGUUUACCUGCGUACUGGUCGUAUGGAGUCUGCGGGGAUGGCCGGGUGUUCUUCAUCAAUGGCCAAACUCGUACGACUUCUUGGUUGCAUCCGCGCACGGGGGAACCUGUCAACUCGGGCCACAUGAUUCGCUCAGAUCUACCUCGAGGAUGGGAGGAAGGCUUCACGGAGGAGGGGGCCAGCUACUUCAUUGAGUAAGUAUGCCCCCAGACAGACAGCCUGGGAUUUGUUUUUGUAAUUCAUUUAAGAGGUCAUUAGUGGACCAGAUGAUCGCGGAAUGAGAAAUUUGAACUUCUCCCAAGUACCUAUUGCUAGGAAAAGUAGGUGCACCUGUUGUUAACUUUGGGGAUGUUUACUUCCUGAAAGUGCACUUUUUUCUGUGAAUUGCAUUUAAGUAGCGAAUGAGAGUGCAGCUCGACCGGGUUUUUUAUUGUGUGCUGAGCAGGAGGCCGUGCAAUACUAAACUCGUUUCAGUCCCAGUUCUGCACUGGAAGCCUAGGGCUGUACUUUAACCUCUUAACGUUUUAUUGAAUGCUCCUUUUGCUUAGUGGUGGCAUGUCUUGCAUUUUUUGACAGCUGCCACUCUGAAGUAACUAAAAGGACACCGUCUGUAAAGCUGGAAUGUUGGGCGUCAGUAAUUUAAUCGUGCUUCAUUAAUUUAUUUGAACUUACUGUCAUGUCCAGCAAAAGAAAGUUAUGUUGGAAAGUUCUGUGUACUUCCCUCUCUUUCUCCCUCUCUCU